UCCAGACUCCUACGGGAGGCAGCAGUGAGGAAUAUUGGUCAAUGGGCGGGAGCCUGAACCAGCCAAGUCGCGUGAGGGAAGACGGUCCUAUGGAUCGUAAACCUCUUUAGGCGGGGAGCAAUGCCGGGCACGUGUGCCCGGAGGGAGAGUACCCGCAGAAAAAGCAUCGGCUAACUCCGUGCCAGCAGCCGCGGUAAUACGGAGGAUGCGAGCGUUAUCCGGAUUUAUUGGGUUUAAAGGGUGCGUAGGCGGGCUUUUAAGUCAGCGGUAAAAAUUCGGGGCUCAACCCCGUCCGGCCGUUGAAACUGGGGGCCUUGAGUGGGCGAGAAGAAGGCGGAAUGCGCGGUGUAGCGGUGAAAUGCAUAGAUAUCGCGCAGAACUCCGAUUGCGAAGGCAGCAUGCCGGCUCCACACUGACGCUGAGGCACGAAAGCGUGGGUAUCGAACAGGAUUAGAUACCCCAGUAUGA
rnacentral:rRNA from 1 species